UUAAUAGAGCUGUACAGUCAGCACAAACACACACUGACUUCCAAGCAAUCAAACACAAUUACAAACCAGAAAAAACAAACAACAUGGAGACAGAUAACAGAGGCGAUUAACGAUUGCUCUGACUCCGGCUGCCUUAGGACAGAGAGCGAUGUAAGAAAAAAGUGGAAAGACCUCCUGAGCAAAGCAAAAAAAGAUUUAUCUGCAAAAAAACACCACCCGACCGGCGGGGGUCCUCCCCCAAAAACUUCCCUGUACAGUACCAUAAUUGUGGAUAUCUUUGGAGAGGAUUCACCGGCUUUUAUUGGUUUGGUCGGUGCGGAAAGUGGCGGUUCUGACAUGCAAGAAACCCUUGUCUCCCCAGAGAUGGCUGUCGAUCACUCAAUCGAGAGUGUGAAUUGUGAAGACUCGAUGGAGGACCCAGUCACUCCACAAAGUUCUCACGAACACAGCAGCGGUGCACCACCGGUGAAACGGAUGAGGAGGCUGGAUAAUCUGCAGCAGACACUUCUUGAGAAGGAAAUUGUGAGAGUGGAGACUGAAACAAAAAAACUACAGACCGAGCAGGAAAAGUUAGAACUUGAAAAACAAAAAAUAUUGUUAGAAAUACAGUUGCUCCAACAACAGAUAAACAGUUCAUCUUCGCCUAUUUCUGAAGAUGAUGGGCGGUCUUUUGUAUUUCUGUAAAUAAGCCUUAUGGCAAAUUGUGUACAAUGAAUCAAUGACAAUUAUAUGUAAAUAAAAUAAGUUUAUUAUAGACCUA